rnacentral:rRNA from 1 species
UACAGAGGGUGCGAGCGCUAAUCGGAAUUACUGGGCGUAAAGAGCGCGCAGGCGGUCGUUCAAGUCGAGUGUGAAAGCCCCCGGCUCAACUGGGGAGGGUCAUUCGAUACUGAUCGACUCGAAGGCAGGAGAGGGAAGUGGAAUUCCCGGUGUAGUGGUGAAAUGCGUAGAUAUCGGGAGGAACACCAGUGGCGAAGGCGACUUCCUGGCCUGUUCUUGACGCUGAGGCGCGAAAGCUAGGGGAGCAAACGGG